rnacentral:rRNA from 1 species
ACAACUCUCAGCAAUGGAUAUCUCAACUCUCGUAUCGAUGAAGAAUGUACUAAAAUGCGAUACAUGGUGUGACUUGUAGAAUCCCGUGAACCAUUGAGUCUUUGAAUGCAAGUUGUGCUGCAAGCUAUUAGGCUGAGGGCAUGCCUGCUUGGGUGUCAUGCACUGUUUCCCCCUCUAAACCCCUACCCAUUAAACUCUACAGUAAGUGGCUGAAAAUUGCCCCUCAUGAUCUCAUCAAUCUUGGUGGGGCUAAAAGCAAGUUGCCAGCAAUGAUAGCAUCGUGAUCAUUAAUAGUAAAGCUUUUGGCAUUCCUUAACUCUGGUGACACAUGCUCGUUGUCCAUUUAGACCCCAUUGGACCCUUCACAUCACUUGAUUGAUGCUAGCAUCAUGAUCCCAAGUCAAGUAGGAUUACUUGAUGAAUUUAAGCAUAUCAAUAUGCAAAGAAAAAUAAACUUACCAAGAUUCCCCUUAGUAACAACAAGCAAACCAAAAAAAGCCCAACUUGAGAAUUGGGUGCCCACGGUGUCUAAAUUGUAGUUUACAGAAGUGUCCUCAGUGGUGGACCAGGCCUAAGUCCCCAGGAAAAGGGAGCCAGAGAGGCUGAGAGCCCUGUUGUGCCUAGACCCUAUCACACUAUGAGGCACUAUUUACAAGUCGGGUUAUUUGGGUAUGUAGCCCUGAUAGGGCAGUAAAUUCCAUUAAAGGUUGAAUAUGGGUGAAAAACUGAUAGAGAACAAGUAUCAUGAGGGAAAGAUGAAAAAGACUUUGAAAGGAGAGUCAAAGAGUUCUUGAAAUUAUCAAGAAAGAAGUGAAAUGGGGGCCGAUGAUGCAUCUUGGUUAAAUGUGGACCAGCAAUAGUUGAUUCCGUCGAUUAGCUAGGGCUGGACCAUUAUGGGUCAUGGCGGUGGCUCGAACCCAAGCUUUCAAUAUGCCUAUGGAAACAUCGUUACCAUGAUUAUAAAAUGUAGCACAUGCCAUCUCAACAUGCCUUGAUGCUCACGUGCUCUUGACAUAGGCCUGUAGGUACCUCAUCUGGCCCAUCUUGAAACAUGGACCAAAGAGUCUAACAUGUUUGUGAGUCAAUGGGGUAGAAAACCUAUAAGACACAAGGAAGCUAAUUGGUGGGAUCCUUCACAAGUGAGCUACUGAUCGACCUUGAUCUUCUGAGAAAGGUUUGAGUGUAAGCAUGCAUGUAAAGACCUAAAAGAUAAGGAACUAUGCUUGAGUGGGACAAAGCCAAAGGAAACUAUAGUGGAGGCCCAUAAUGAUACUAGCAUGUAAAUUGUUCAUCUAACUUGGGUAUAAGGGUGAAAGACUAAUCAAACUAUUUAAUAGUUGGUUCCCUUUAAAGUUUUCCUCAAGAUAGUUAGAGCCUUUAGUGAAUUCCAUCAGGUAAAGCUAAUGAUUACAGGCAUCGAGGCCGUAACACCCUCGACCUAUUCUUAAACUUUAAAUAGGUAGGAUGGUGCGGCUUUAUUAAGCCAUGCCACGAAAUUGAGAGCUCCAAGUGGGCCAUUUUUGGUAAGCAAAACUGGUGAUGCAGGAUGAACCAGAAGCCAAGUUAUAGUGCCCAACUUUGCACUAACCUAGAACCCAUAAAGUGUGUUGGUCGAUUAAGAUAGCAGAACAGUGGUCAUGGAAGUUGAAAUUUGCUAAAAAGUGUGUAACAACUCACCUACCGAGUCAACUGGCCCUGAAAAUGAAUGACGCUUAAGCACACAACCUAUACUCGACUAUUAGGGCAAGGGCCAAGCCCCAAUGAGUAAGAAGGCACAUGGUCAUUACAAAACCUAAGGCACGAGCUUGGGUCGAGUAGCCAUCAGUGUAGAUCUUGGCAUUAGUAGUAAAUAUUCAAAUGAAGACUUUGAAGGCCAAAGAGAGGAAUGGUUCCAUGUGAAUGGCACUUGCAUAUGGGUUAGUUGAUCCUAAGAGAUGGGGAAAAAUAGUCUAAUAGUGCAUCUAGCAUAAGCUUUGAAAGGAAUAAGGUUAAAAUUCUUGAACCAAGAUGCAGCGAUUGAUGGCAACGUUAGAGAAUCUAAAGACAUUGGUUGGGUCCUCAAAAAGAGUUAUCUUUUUUAUUUCAUGGCUUCCCCACCUUGGAAAUGACUCAAUUGUAGGUAGGGUUUGGUAGCCAAGUGAGCAACAUAUGUUGCUUAGUGUCUAGUGCACCCCUGACAACCCUUCAAAAUUUGGAGCAUCGAGUGCCAUCCAUGUCCGAUCAUACUCAUAACCACAUCAAGUCUCCAAGGUAAACAACCAUUGGUCAAUGGAACAAUGUAUGCACAGGAAGUCAGGAAAAUGGAUUCAUAACCUCAAGAAAAGGAUUAGCUCUAAGGACUGUGCAUGGGGGUCCUAUUCCUAAACCCUUCGACUAUCAAUGCACUAUUGAGCUACUCCUAUGGCAAGAGCAAGUCACCAUAUGUCGGUCGAGAGCCUUCCCCAAACAAUGAAUAGUCAACUUUGAACUAGUACGGACUAAGGGAAUCUGACUAUUUAAUUAAAACAAAACAUUACGAUAGUCCCUACAAAUGCUUACAUAAUAUGAUUUUUGCCCAGUGCUUUGAAUGUCUAAGUGAAAAAAUUCAACCAAGCAUAGGUAAACAGCGGGAGUAACUAUGACUCUCUUAAGGUAGCCAAAUGCCUUGUCAUCUAAUUAUUAAUGCACAUGAAAGGAUUAAUGAGAUUCCCACUAUCUCUGUUUACUAUCUAGUGAAACUACACCCAAGGGAAUGGGUUUGGCAGAAUUAGUGAGGAAAAAAGACCCAAUUGAGUUUGACUCUAGUCUGACUUUGUGAAAUGACUUGAGAGGUGUAGGAUAAGUGGGAGCCUUCGGGGUGAAAUUGAAAUACCACUACUUUUAAUGCUACUUUACUUAUUCUGUAAAUCAAAGGUAGGGCAUGACCCCUUCUUUUAAACCCAAAGCCAACCUCGAUCAGUCAAUCUAGGUGAAAAACAUUAUCAAGUAGGGAGAUUGGCUGGUGUGACACAUCUAUUAAAAGAUAAUGCAAGUGUCCUAAGAUAAGCUCAAUGACAAUAGAAAUCUCAUGUAGAACAAAAGGGUAAAAGCUCAUUUGAUUUUAAUUUCUAGUACAAAUACAAACUAUGAAAGCAUGGCCUAUCGAUCCUUUAGACCAUCAGAAUUUGAAGCUAGAGGUGUUAGAAACCACAUGGAUAAUUGGCUUGUGGCAGCCAAGCAUUCAUAGUGACUUUGCUUCUUGAUCCUUCAAUGUCAGCUUUUUCGAUCAUUAUGAAGCAAAAUUCACCAAGUGUUGGAUUGUUCACCAACCACUGGGAAUGUAAACUAGGUUUAGACUAUCAUAAGAUAGGCUAGAUUUAUCUUACUGAUUGCAGUGUUGCAAUAGUAAUUUAACCUAGUAUGAAAACAAUCAUUGAUUUGUACAAUAAGUCAUCGCACUUGGUUGAAAAGCCAAAGGCACAAAGCUACCGUGUGCUAGAUUAUAACCAAAUGCCUUCCAGGAAAAAUCUAGGCUUGCAAUGAUGCAUGUGCUUGUCACCCAAAUGUUGACCCACAGUAGGGGCCAAUGCCCUCAAGGGCAUGUGUCCUAGGUGUAGCCCUCAUAGCGAACAACCACACUAGCCUCCUUA